GACGAACGCUGGCGGCGUGCUUAACACAUGCAAGUCGAACGGAAAGGCCCUGCUUUUGUGGGGUGCUCGAGUGGCGAACGGGUGAGUAACACGUGAGUAACCUGCCCUUGACUUUGGGAUAACUUCAGGAAACUGGGGCUAAUACCGGAUAGGAGCUCCUGCUGCAUGGUGGGGGUUGGAAAGUUUCGGCGGUUGGGGAUGGACUCGCGGCUUAUCAGCUUGUUGGUGGGGUAGUGGCUUACCAAGGGUUUGACGGGUAGCCGGCCUGAGAGGGUGACCGGGGACCAGGCUACUGAGAGACGCAGCAGACGGGUACCUGAGGCAGUGGGCGGAAGUCUGGCGGAGCGGCGGGACGUGAGUUGUGGCAACGUUCCGUGCGUGAAACUCGGUUACGAGGGGAAAACCGAUUUGGAAUUAAACGAGGCGUGCGUGACGGUAAUGAGCAAAGAAGCCACGGCUAACUACGUG
rnacentral:rRNA from 1 species